UUUUUAAUAAUGUGGUUUUUUUAAAAAAGGUCUGAACGGGUGAACUCUGUUGUGAUUUCAGUGCAUUACUGAGAUAAAUU